UGUGUGCACAUGUGCGUGUGUGCGGUCUGACCUAUCCAUCUCUGAAAGCUGGGCCACAGCUGUGCAUCUGUCUCAUGUCUGUUCCUGUGCUGAUCCGAUCCCUUUCCUCCUCUUUUCCCUUCCUCUCCCCGCCCUACUUUCUUCAGCCUCCACUCCACCACUCUGAUGACAUUCCUCCCUCCUUCCCCUCCUCCCUCCCUCCCUCCCUUUCCUUCCUUCCAGCAAAGAUAUUUAUUAAGGGUCUACCAUGUGCCAGGCACUGUUCUAGGCUCCAAGCACAAUAGGAGAUGAACAGACGGAGAUGCCUGGUCUCACAGGAGUGCGUGUCCUCCUGAGAUGAGAUGGGCAUUAAACAACAAUACGAAUUAGUAACAUGCUAGGGGAUGAUAAGUGCUAGGGAAAUAGUGGAAAGCAGUGAGGGGAGAGGGACCAUGGGGCUGGGAGAGUUAUUCUAAGUGGCUGGACACGAGGGCCUCGCCAAUGGGACCUUUGAGGGCUGAUGGGACCUGAGGGGUGAGAGGCAGGGAGACCCGUGGCUGUCUGGAGGAAGGGUGGCCCAGGCAAGGGUGUUGCGAGUGCAAAGGCCCUGAGGUGGGAAUGCACUUAGGGUGUUCUAGGGACAGCAGAGAAGCCAGUAUGGCUGGAGCAGAGUGAACGGGAGGAGAGGAGUCAGCAAAGUCACGGGGCCACAAGAUCGCGUGUGGGGAGCUUUUGGCUUUUGCUCUGAGUGGCAGGGGAGCCAUUGCAGGACUUGAAGCAGGGUCACUCGGGACUAAGGGGAGGCAGGGAGACCAGUGAGGAGGCUGAUGCGUGAUGGUAGUGACUGGUGAUGGUGCCUUGGGUGGGCAAGGGAAGGCCCAUCUCAGAGAUGCUGAGUUCGACGUAAUUAUUAGCCCUCAGGGGAUUUGACAGGCCGCACCUGGAGCUGGAGAGACACAGGUCAGAGCCAUUAGUGUUUGGAGAGCAUCUAGAGCCCAGCUUACGUGGGAGCCACAUUGUGCGUUUGCUCGGAUGUGUCCGUGUGCGUGUGCACGCUGAUGUGGCCAGGGACCGUAAGCAGGGGGGCCCCAGUCCCACGCCGCAGCACAGGGGAGGCAUGAGGGGUAAGGUGACAGUUCCAGAGGUCCACUGGCGGACCUGGGUGUGCAGCUUUGUGCAAUCUCAGAUCAUCAAGGCCAGCUGCAACCACUCUGAGUGGUGGCAUGCCAUGUGCCAAGCAGAAACGAUAGGGGGCCCUCCCUGGCGGGGCAGCUGUGGGCACCGAAUGAGACGGCGCACGUGCCCAACUUAGACUAGGCCGGCUGCCCGUUAUGAUGACUGUUCCCAUCAACCCUGAAAUGCGGGGGGAGACCUUUUGAACAAUUCACUUUCCUCCACUGGGUAGGGCUUAGGAAAGUGGUAUUUCCUACAUGCCUGGCUCCUCUUCAAUCAUAAAUGAGGAUUCUGAGGCUCAGAGAGGUUGAGUGAGUUGCCCAGGCCACACAGACAGGGCAAAGCUGGCACUGAAGCCAGCUCCACGCUGUGUUCCCUGCAUGGCUGCUGGUUGCUACUUGCCCAGGAAAGUACAGGCAAGGAGGAGUUGAGGUCUGAAGACUGACCCACACGUCCAGGAAGCAUGCCUGGGGGCCUGACGACGGUGCCCCGCAUCGCCUCAUGGCGUUUCCCCAUUCUCCCUGUAGUAGGGCGCUGGUGUUCACAUCAAUGCAGUUUCCCCAGGACAAGUGUCAGGGAGAAGGUGUGUGUCGGGGGGUGAUCUGUGCAGCCCAAGGCCCCAGGCACGCUGUCCUCUGAGAUGGCCAUUGUUUGGGCAAGGAUAGAGAGAGUGGGUGUGCACAGCCGCUUGCUCUGGGGUGUGUGCAUCACCUGUGCACGGCAGUGCGUGCAUGUGCCCAGUGGCAGGGUGGGAAGGGUAGCUGAGACCCACGUGGGAGACAGCCUGAGCCUGGCAGAGGGACCGGGCAACGGCUGGAAGGAGCUGCACUGGGCUGGGACCUCCCUGGAGUCCUUGAACCACAUCGGAGCUGCUGUGGGAAGGCUUCCUGGUGCGUGGAGAGAGGGAGGGAGGCACAUGCUGGUGAUUGAGCCGCUGCUCCUCCUUUUGAUCUGCUUGCUUCCCUGGAGAGACUCCCUCCUCCGCACCUGGGGGCUGCAGCGGGAGGGCUGGCCAGGGGGGCUUCAGGCUGGUGUGGGGUAGCAGGGCGCAGUAACCCUGGAGUGCAGGAAGCUUCUUUCUCCCACAUGGCCUUGCUGGGCCCUGCUGCCCCGUCCCUGCCACUGAGCGGCCUGGCUCCCUUGUGCCACAGGUGCGCUGAGGGCAUCCUGUCCUGCAGGGAAGGGUCCAGGGCACGCCACUGGGGCUCUAGGCCCAAGCUCACAUCCCUGCCCCUGGUUCUGCCUCUGUUCCUCUCAGUCAACACUCCUGUUCCUCUGUCCUUUCUGUCUCAGCCUGCAGGCUUCUCCUUCCUUCCUCCCUGCCUCAUAUACCUAGACCCCACUCUUGUGUUUUAGGGAUCUGGGCAUCCCCACAAUUUCAACUUGUCUCUGGUUCCAAGAGGUGAGGCAGUCCAGCUUCCAGGCAGGAUCUGGGUAUGGCCUGCAGGCUGGUCACCAGUGGGCAGGUGCAGAGGGAGAAAGGAGGGUAGAGCCAGCCAGAGCUGGGUUCGGAUCCUGCCUGCACCUCCUGGCUGUGUGACCACAGGCGAGUGAGCUGCUGAGCUGGGGAGGGCCUCUUGGCAGAUCCUGGAAGACCACUCAAGGGACAAUGUUCAGCACAUCUUUGAAGAGGCUGGUGGCUCUGGGGCCGCGGGUGGAGCAGUCCUCAGGAUGUCCAGGGUUUUGUGCCUUGCUGAGGAAGGGCCUCCCUACCCAGGAUCAUGAAGAUGUUUCCCCUUCGGGCUUCCACGUCUCGUCUUGAGGCUUGGCUUCUCUUCCUUCUGUUCCAUUGAUCUGUUUCAUUUGCUCCUGAUCCAAAACCCCAUGGUUAGCGUAUGUUCUCCUCUCAUUGCCCAUUGCUGCCCAUGAGAAUGAGAAGCUUCCUGCAGACAGAUAUUCCUCCUGCCUGUUCUGUUCCACGCUGUGGCCCAGCACUCAGCAGGUGCCUGUACGGGACGGAGGCAGCACCCACAACUCCGAAGACCGAGAAGGUGUUUAGCAAAGCCCAAACACACCACUAAUCUCCGUCCUCCCCAGCCGGGGACGGGUGAAAGAACGCUGACGAUCCAUCCAAGCAAGGACACCGUACUCCACUCCUCCCACAUAACCAUCAGGCAACCCUCUGAAGGUCUUGACCAGGGCAAGUGGGUGCUGGCCAGGAGGCUGGCUGGACACCCCGUCUGAAGAGCCACAGUUUUGUUCCUCAUGGUUCACAUGUAACCUGCCCCCAGAUGAUUGCUCAUGAGCAUAAUCAUAAAAGCAAUGACUGUUGAGUCUUGUCCGAUCCUCUGGAAAUGGAAAUGGGAGGAACUUCCUCAGGGAGUUUGGGCAAGGCUGGUGAGUGAGGACAGUGCCCCGCAAUCUUCCCAACCGCUGGACGGGAACGGUGACUAAUGGAGUCCUCACUUAUGUGCCAGGACGGACGGUGCUGUCUUGUACAAGUAUCCUUGUGCCCCAAACACUCCUGAGGUAGCUGCACCCUUGCAGACGAGGAAACCCCAGCCCCAGGAACCGGUCACCUGGUUCAGGCCUGCGGGGGCUCAGCUGGGAUAUGACCCCACAUCAGCCUGGCCCGGCACUAAGCUGCCUGGCUGGAGAAGUACCUUCCAACCCACGCCAGGUUAAGGCUGGUUGAGAGCUCCGCCCACCAAGGAGGCCAAAGUUUCAUUCUGUGGAAUUGAUGUAAAGGAAGCUGGGUGGGGGCAGCUAUGGCCUUUUCAAAAGGAGGACACAUCGAUUGUGCAGUUUAUACACCUAAAUUCAACUGUAUUCCUUUAGGAUGGAGAGGCAGGGGGUGGAGCAGGAGGAGAGAAGAGAGGGAGGGGUGACAGGCACCCCCGUGGAGGCCCACUCCACGGUCUGCACUCAGCUAUGUGUGGGGUUGGGCCUGGGAGCACUGGCAGGUUGCAGGCAGCCUUGGGUCCCCGUGGCCCCUGGGAGUCUCUCACCCAGCUGAACAGGUUCUGCAGUGAAAAGACUGGAUUUUCAUACUGCUUGGCCUCCAAGCAGGUCAGCGGUAUCUUCUAGUCCCCAAAGAAAGAACAUGGACCCCACAUGGAAGGGGAAAAAUCCACAGGCUGGAGACAAUGGACUGCAUCCCACGCAGGCCAACAGCCUGUGGUUUUCACCAUCUGGGCGCCAACCUUGGCACUGAGGGCCUCCAGGUGUGAGACGUUGGAGCAAGAGCACCAGGCUUGGCUCACAACACCAGGGACUGACCUUGUAUGACCUUGAUCAAGUCCUUUCCCUUUUCUGGGCCUCACGAUCCCCUCUGUGAACACAGCAGUGGCAAGAGUGGGUGAUCUCCCUUUCAGCUCUGUCGCUGGGUGCCCCAGCCAUUCACUUGGUCAACAGGCAUUCCGCCCAGGGCACUGCUCUAGCUGCCGGGGUGACACAAGGGAAGGAGAAAGAGAAGGUCUGCUCUUGGGGAACUUGGUUUUGAUGGAGAGACAGUGAGCAUGCCAACAACCAAGAAGGUAAUUUCAGAUGGUGGAAAGUGACAACACACAUGGUCAUGUGACAGAGAGCAAGGAGGCUUCCUUAGGUGGGGAGGUCCAAGAAGGGCUCCCUGGGAAGAGGACAUUUGAACCGAGACCUGAAGAUUGAGAUCUGUCAUGUGAGAAUCUAGCAGAUGUGCAAGACAGAAGGAUGGCAAGUGCAAAGGCCCCGUGGCAAGACAUGUUGGCAUGACCGAAGAACAGAAAGGCCAGAGUGGCUGGGGCGGUGAGCCAGAGGGAGUGCUGUCUGAGUCGAGGCAGAGGAAGUGAGCAGGACUGAUGGUUCUCAGCCAGGGGUGCACCACCUUUCCCAGUGAAUGCCCCUCAGUUGUCCCAAGGACUGGGGGACGUGCCACUAGCAUGUAGCGCUGGGAGGAUGACAGACGUCCCGUGAUACGGAGGGGUCCCACACAGUCCUGCUAUUUCCCUUAUCAGGACACAUUAGACCCCACCCCCUGCCUAUCAGGAUGGUUACUAUUAAAAACCAGAACAAAACCAAAAAUCAACAAGAGUUGGUAAGGAUGCAGAGAGAUUGGAGCCCUGGGCGCUGCUGGUGGGAGGGUAGAAUGGUGCAGCAGCCCUGGGAUACAGUGUGGCUGUUCCUCCAAAAUUCAGAAGAGAACUACCACGUGAUGCACCGAUUCCACUUCUGGUCACAGGUCCAAAGGAAUUGAAAGCAGCACUCAGAGAGCUAUCUGUACACCCGUGUUCAUAGCAGGAUUACUCACAAUAGCCAAAAGGUAGAAAAAAAACCCCAAAUGUCCAUCGAGGGAGGAGUGGAGAAACCGAGUAUAGACUAUACAUGCAGUGGAAUAUUAUUCAGCCUUAGAAAGGAAAGAUUCUCACGCACACUACAGUGUUGGACGACCCUUGAGGACACUAUGCUGAAUGACACGAGCCAGUCCACAAAAAUACAGAGCCGGUGUGAUUGCGCUUCUGUGAGGACCUGGAGCGGACAAGUUCAUAGAGACAAAGAGUAGACAAAGAGUAGAGACAAGAGUAGAGGUUGCCGGGGGCUGGAGGUGAGGGGAAUGAGGAGUUGUUGUUUGUUCAACGGGAAUGGGGUUUCAACGGUGGAAGAUGAAAAUGUCCUAAAGUCUGGGAGCACGACAGUCUGAAUGUACUUAAUACGACUGAGUUAUACGCUUAAGAGUGGUUAUGAGGGUUGGACGGAGGGGCACCUGGGGGGCUCAGUCGGUUAAGCGUCUGCCUUCAACUUAGAUCAGGUCAUGGUCCUGGGGUCCUGGGGUCCUAGGGUCCUGAGAUCAAGCCCCAUUUAGCCUGCCUCUCUGUCU